CACCAUGUGGUUGCUGGGAAUUGAACUCAGGACCUUUGGUAGAGCAGGCAAUGCUCUUAACCUCUGAGCCAUCUCUCCAGCCCCACUGAUGGCACUUUUAUGUCAGUUUCUGUUACCAGCCUGAUCCAAAUUUAGAUUUCACUCAUUUAAAUUUUAUUUAUUAUGUGCUGAACCUUAAAUAGUAUGCUGGACUUAAGUUGAAUAUUUGUCUAGACACAGGAAUGCCUUCCAGAUUAGAUGUGUGAGAGCUGACUAGGCUACUCUAAGUAGUGUUUCAUCAUUGUAAGGCAAAAUAGCGAGAAUUGGGUUUCUAUUCUACCUGUCCUAUAGAGUUGAACUAUAAAUGAAUGGAUAUUCAAAAGUUGUUUUUUUUUUUUUCUCUCUCUCUCCUUAGUACUGGAUGAAUGAAUACACAUCAUCUAUUGGAAUUGGAGUUUUUCAUUCUGGAAUUGAAGUGUAUGGCAGAGAAUUUGCUUAUGGUGGCCAUCCUUACCCUUUUUCUGGAAUAUUUGAAAUUUCCCCAGGAAAUGCUUCUGAACUAGGAGAAACAUUUAAAUUUAAAGAAGCUGUUGUUUUAGGGAGUACGGACUUUCUAGAAGA